GUAACAAGGUUUCCGUAGGUGAACCUGCGGAAGGAUCAUUAAAGAUUAUGAAUGAAUAGAUUGCUGGGGGAAUCGUCUGAACAAGGCCUGCGCUUAAUUGCGCGGCCAGUUCUUGAUUCUCUGCUAUCAGUUUUCUAUUUCUCAUCCUAAACACAAUGGAGUUUUUUCUCUAUGAACUACUUCCCUGGAGAGCUCGUCUCUCCAGUGGACAUAAACACAAACAAUAUUUUGUAUUAUGAAAAACUAUUAUACUAUAAAAUUUAAUAUUCAAAACUUUCAACAACGGAUCUCUUGGUUCUCGCAUCGAUGAAGAACGCAGCGAAUUGCGAUAUGUAUUGUGAAUUGCAGAUUUUCGUGAAUCAUCAAAUCUUUGAACGCACAUUGCGCCCUCUGGUAUUCCAGGGGGCAUGCCUGUUUGAGCGUCAUUUCUCUCUCAAACCUUUGGGUUUGGUAGUGAGUGAUACUCGUCUCGGGUUAACUUGAAAGUGGCUAGCCGUUGCCAUCUGCGUGAGCAGGGCUGCGUGUCAAGUCUAUGGACUCGACUCUUGCACAUCUACGUCUUAGGUUUGCGCCAAUUCGUGGUAAGCUUGGGUCAUAGAGACUCAUAGGUGUUAUAAAGACUCGCUGGUGUUUGUCUCCUUGAGGCAUACGGCUUUAACCAAAACUCUCAAAGUUUGACCUCAAAUCAGGUAGGAGUACCCGCUGAACUUAAGCA
rnacentral:misc_RNA from 1 species